rnacentral:rRNA from 1 species
UACGUAGGGUGCAAGCGUUAAUCGGAAUUACUGGGCGUAAAGCGUGCGCAGGCGGUUAUGCAAGACAGAUGUGAAAUCCCCGGGCUCAACCUGGGAACUGCAUUUGUGGCUGCAUGGCUGGAGUGCGGCAGAGGGGGAUGGAAUUCCGCGUGUAGCAGUGAAAUGCGUAGAUAUGCGGAGGAACACCGAUGGCGAAGGCAAUCCCCUGGGCCUGCACUGACGCUCAUGCACGAAAGCGUGGGGAGCAAACAGG